AUGCGAUUUGCAGUUGGAAUUUCCACAGUGGGAAUGUCUCGGCGUCCUUCAACUUCUCUAUAUCCCUCACCUCCAGCAGUCUUGUCGUCGUGCUUGCUUCCAUUUUUGCAGCUUAUCAAACAGUCUCCUUUUCUCUUCUCCCUUGAAAUUUGUUACUUCAAGAGAGGCGUUUUUCGCGGCACUUCUGACGUCACGAAAAUUCAGGUAUUGAUCGUGGCACUUUUGACUUCACGAAAAAUUCAGGCGUUUAUCGUGGCACUUUUGACUUCACGAAAAAAAAAAUUCGGGCGUUUAUCGUGGCACUUUUGACUUCACGAA
rnacentral:lncRNA from 1 species